rnacentral:rRNA from 1 species
GAUGAACGCUGGCGGCGUGCCUAAUACAUGCAAGUCGAGCGAACAGACGAGGAGCUUGCUCCUCUGACGUUAGCGGCGGACGGGUGAGUAACACGUGGAUAACCUACCUAUAAGACUGGGAUAACUUCGGGAAACCGGAGCUAAUACCGGAUAAUAUAUUGAACCGCAUGGUUCAAUAGUGAAAGACGGUUUUGCUGUCACUUAUAGAUGGAUCCGCGCCGCAUUAGCUAGUUGGUAAGGUAACGGCUUACCAAGGCAACGAUGCGUAGCCGACCUGAGAGGGUGAUCGGCCACACUGGAACUGAGACACGGUCAAGACUCCUACGGGAGGCAGCAGUAGGGAAUCUUCCGCAAUGGGCGAAAGCCUGACGGAGCAACGCCGCGUGAAUGAUGAAGGUCUUCGGAUCGUAAAACUCUGUUAUUAGGGAAGAACAAAUGUGUAAGUAAAUAUGCACGUCUUGACGGUACCUAAUCAGAAAGCCACGGCUAACUACGUG